rnacentral:rRNA from 1 species
GACGAACGCUGGCGGCGUGCUUAACACAUGCAAGUCGAACGGAAAGGCCCUGCUUUCGUGGGGUGCUCGAGUGGCGAACGGGUGAGUAACACGUGAGUAACCUGCCCUUGACUUUGGGAUAACUUCAGGAAACUGGGGCUAAUACCGGAUAGGAGCUCCUGCUGCAUGGUGGGGGUUGGAAAGUUUCGGCGGUUGGGGAUGGACUCGCGGCUUAUCAGCUUGUUGGUGGGGUAGUGGCUUACCAAGGCUUUGACGGGUAGCCGGCCUGAGAGGGUGACCGGCGGGAGGGUGCGGGAGAUGCCGACCAGGGCAGGAGGGGAGGGAUCAGGGGAGAAAGUGGGAGGGUGGGAGGGGGCGUGCGGCGCGACGGCGGCGCGGGGGAGGCCGGCCUGGGGGUCUCAACCCGCGUGCGGAGGUGGGGAAGCGUGACGGAGGGGAGGGGAGAAAGAAGAGCGGGCUAACGACGGCCAGGAGGACGCGGUAAGAAUCGGAGGAGCACGCUUCUACAC